AAAAUCGUGGGUUUAAAGUUGUUUUACGUGAGAUUUAAAGUAAAAUCCUGGGUGUAAAGUUGUUCCACAUCAGUUUUAAGGUAAAUCCUGGGUUUAAAGUUGUUCUACAUCAGUUUUAAGGUAAAAUCUUGGGUUUAAAGUUGUUCCACAUCAGUUUUAAGGUAAAAUCCUGGGUUUAAAGUUGUUCCACAUCAGUUUUAAGGUAAAAUCCUGGGUUUAAAGUUGUUCUACAUCAGUUUUAAGGUAAAAUCCUGGGUUUAAAGUUGUUCCACAUCAGUUUUAAGGUAAAAUCCUGGGUUUAAAGUUGUUCCACAUCAGUUUUAAGGUAAAAUCUUGGGUUUAAAGUUGUU